rnacentral:sRNA from 1 species
UCCUUUCAAUAGAUCAUUAGUUGAGCGCUCGGUCGAAGAGGACGACCACCUCCGAUAGAGGAGGACCAUUCCUCGGUCAAGGGUAUAUGAGUAGCUGCCCUCCCCUGCUAGAACCUCCAAACAAGCUCUCAAUAGACCAUUAGAAAUCAGCAGUAUGAUUACC